GACCCAGAAUUCUGGGUUAUGUUUCCCUAAUUAUUCUAAAACGAAAAAAAGCAAAUUCUUCUUCUUCUUCUUCUCUCUCUCUCUCUCCCCAGCACUUUGCGGUGAUCCGAUGAUGGGCAAACAUAAUCGACGGCGAUGAAGCAGGGGAACAGGUCAACAACAAGGCACAAAUCGACGACGACGGCAGGGUGGCAGUGAUAGAUAGCAGUGCAGCGAGAAAUAGACCUACAGUGGAUCUGAUGAUAUCGCGAAGGGGGACGGUGGCGGUGGUGGGGUGGCUUUAUCUGCGUCUAGAGAAAGAAAGAGGAAAAAGGUUUUGCAGCUUCAAAACCAUCCCCCAUUGCUUCCGUAGAACCGGCAACAUUUAUAUCGGCAGCCCGUUUGUUAUGACUAUGAGGAUAAAAACAGGAAAACACAAUCAAUAGAUAUUAGUAUCUGAGUUCUCUGUC